GGUCAGAGAAGUAAAGACACAAGCAACAUUCAAAUAUGUGGAUGACCUGCUGGACCUCAUAUUUGAUAAAGUCUUUGUGGAUCCUGCACCAUAUGUGGAUGAUGUUUUGAGGAUACCAAUACCACCAGCAUUGUGCGCAGAGUAUGACCGGCCAGAGAAGGAGGAGGCCAUCUCUAGUAGGGUAUCUCGGUUUAAUCAAUAGGUGGUCGAAAACCUACAUAACUACCCUGGGCAUCAGGAAACUCUCUUCGAAUCCUCAGGACCACACAGGAUGGAAUCACAACUCGAACUUUUCGUCCAAGGAAACCCCAGCACCAGCUCACAAAACUCCGAUAAGCUAAAAAUCUGUAACGACUAAGGCACACACACACAUAGCCACGUUCUCAAAACAGGGUUCAAGGAUUUUUCUGUGUUUUUUUUCUUUCAAAUAUCUAUCAUUUGUUGUCUGGAGUUGAAAUAUUUGAUAUUUAAUUGAUCAUGGUUCAAUUUUUUUUGGAGGAAUGUCCUUUUAUUAAAAUUAUUUAAUUUCUAAACUUAUUUGUACAGUUCAGUGUCUUUAUACAUAAUGUAAAUAAAAAAAUGUAUAUGCAA